rnacentral:rRNA from 1 species
UACGUAGGAUGCAAGCGUUGUCCGGAAUUUAUUGGGCGUAAAGAGCGCGCAGGCGGUAUGACAAGUCAGAUGUGAAAGAGGCCGGCUAACCGGCAAGGGUCAUUUGAAACUGUCAGACUGAGUGCAGCAGAGGAUAGUGGAAUUCCCGGUGUAGUGGUAGAAAUGCGUAGAUAUCGGGAGGAACACCAGUGGCGAAGGCGACUAUCUGGCUGCAACUGACGCUGAGGUGCGAAAGCGUGGGGAGCAAACAGG